rnacentral:rRNA from 1 species
AGUGAACGCUGGCGGUAGGCCUAACACAUGCAAGUCGAACGAGUGGCGGACGGGUGAGUAAUGUCUGGGAAACUGCCCGAUGGAGGGGGAUAACUACUGGAAACGGUAGCUAAUACCGCAUACCAUCGGAUGUGCCCAGAUGGGAUUAGCUUGUAGGUGAGGUAACGGCGCCCCUAGUCGACGAUCCCUAGCUGGGCUGAGAGGAUGACCAGCCAGACUGGAACUGAGACACGGUCCAGACUCCUACGGGGGGCAGCAGGGGGGAAUAUUGCACAAUGGGGGCAAGCCUGAUGCAGCCAUGCCGUGUGUAUGAAGAAGGCCUUCGGGUUGUAAAGUACUUUAAGUUGGGAGGGGUUACCAACAGAAUAAGCACCGGCUAACUUCGUGCCAGCAGCCGCGGUAAAC